AUUGAACGCUGGCGGCAGGCCUAACACAUGCAAGUCGAACGAGUGGCGGACGGGUGAGUAAUGUCUGGGAAACUGACCGAUGGAGGGGGAUAACUACUGGAAACGGUAGCUAAUACCGCAUACCCACGGAUGUGCCCAGAUGGGAUUAGCUAGUAGGUGGGGUAACGGCUCACCUAGGCGAAGAUCCCUAGCUGGUCUGAGAGGAUGACCAUGUACACUGGAACGGAGACACGGUCCAAAAUCCUACGUGAGGCAGCAGUGGGGAAUAUUGCAAAAUGGGCGCAAGCCUGAUGCAGCCAUGCCGCGAGUAUGAAGAAGGCCUUCGGGUUGUAAAGUACGUUCAGCGAGGAGGCGUUGCUCGCAGAAGAAGCACCGGCUAACUCCGUGCCAUCAGCCGCGGUAAUAC
rnacentral:rRNA from 1 species